UACGUAGGGUGCAAGCGUUGUCCGGAAUUAUUGGGCGUAAAGAGCGUGUAGGCGGCCCGACCAGUCCGCUGUGAAAGUCCAGGGCUCCAACCCUGGAAUGCCGGUGGAUACUGUCGGGCUAGAGUCCGGAAGGGGCGAGUGGAAGUUCCUGGUGUAUGCGGGUGAAAUGACGCAGCGUAUCAGGAGGAACACCGAUGGCGAAGGCAGGUCUCUGGGCCG
rnacentral:rRNA from 1 species